UGACCUUGUGUUUCUAUGCCUGCAGAAACUGAACCAUGACCAUUCUUCCUGUAGGCCACGACCUUUCCCACUGACCCAUCAGCACGCUAAUUUGCCGACCAUGACCCUUAACAUGUAAGCCACUUACAGAUUGGAUUCCCUUCCUGUACUGAUUGUUGUUUCCUCACUAUUGAUUGGUCCUAUAUGGAUCAGUUUCAGAGUGCGACAAUUUAUUCUCAAGAAUUAGGGUUUUAUUCAGGACCACUAAUACAUAAAGUUAAUACAAGACAGAAUAAUGCUGUCUCCAAAAUAUUAUAAUAUCAUUAUUAUUAUCUGCAGUCCAACACUGAGCAGAUUCCUGAAUUUGCACUUUCAAUUGAUAUACUUGAUUGUACAAUUUUAUGAAGGCUAACUUUUAAUUUAAGAUUAAUUUGUGUUUUGAAAUGCAUUCUCCCAAUAAAACAAAAUAUUAUGAGCAACAGCAUGGAGUCAGUCUUAUUCAGGUUGAUCUUCCUCUCCCUCUUUCGCUCUCCAUCACCUCUAAUGGAUAAAUGGUCAAUACAACCAUAAAUAAAUCAGUCAUAUUGAUUUGUAGGCUCCAGUUAUUCUUUCACAGCCGCCACAGACACUGUAACCAAGCAGUCCAUUUAUGCACAGAGGUGAGAGAUGUAUCAGCCAAACAGACACGCAUGUACAUUUGCACUCCUACACACAGGCCCAAGCACACACACGCACGUACGUAUGUGCACACACCCAAACACGACACCACCUUGGCAUGGAGCAGCCCCGUAGAAGACUGUCUGUGUUAAUGCUGAUGCACUGUGGGACUCUCUGAUGUCUGCCUCCUCUCAACCUCUCUAUUCACUCAGAACAAAAGCAACAUUUGGAAAUUGCGAGAUGGAGCGGCUGCAGGCUUGUGUGAUAAUCCAACAACGCAGCCAGCCCCCUUUGUGAAGUCCACCGGGCCACCGAGGACAACUGUGAAGAGCUGACGUUAUGCAUGGUGAAGGGAAGAUAAACUGCUGCCACAGUUGAGAAGUGAAAGACAGUGUGGGAUUGAGGGAGAAUUUAUGAAUGAAUGAUGAUGUACAGAUGGUCCGCGCUGGGUUAAACUGUGGAUCCGUGGUUGAAUAGACACACCAUCCGUCAGCCGGGCGAGUUGCAGAGCAGGUUAUGGGGCAAAGUCUCUGCAUUGAGAUCCAGACCAUUUGCUCACUGCAGACACACACACACACACACACACAAGACAUGCUAAUGGCAGAGCCCCUUCAAGCCAAAACACACAAGGGGACAUUUCAAUGAAAACACGCAAGCUUUACCUCUGAGGACCAGCGUUGUGCCCAAGCCUUGGAGGGUCAGGAGAGAGUACAGCAGGCAGGGGGGAAGGUGGUCUGGUUUCUUGGGUUAGGGGAAGGUGGGUAAGGGUGGGUACGGGGCGGUUGGGGGGGAUCUUACAAACCACCCUGGUCCCUUGUGUGAGGAGUUGUGGACCACAUGUCGGACAGGCCUAGGGAAAAUUAGUUGCGUUUGUAGGGGGAUGUGGUGAUUCCAGGUAACCAAAUGUGUGAGAAGCUAGCGUAACGAGUUUGUGUGUUUAAGAAUGAGAGCGGGAGGCUGAGGGGGGGACAGAGAGGCAGGAGCCCAGGGAGAGAGGAAGAGAGACGGACAUGGAGGGAUGGAGGGGGAUUGGGAGAGUUGGAGAAAAAGAGGGAGAGGGGGAGAGAGAGGGAGGUAAAGAGGGAGGGAGUAGGACCAGAGCGGCUGAACACGGAGGAUGGAUUAAGACAGAGUUAAGCCAGUCAAUAGAGCACAGUGUUGCUGAUCCCAUUAGUCCUGCUGGGGUUAGAAACCAGGAAACCAGCCUCACACAGAGCCUAUACAUUAUGUGGUAAACAUUCUGGCCAGGCUCACACAUACUUUUUACACAGUGGUAAACAUUCUGGCCAGCCUCACACAUACUUUUUACACAGUGGUAAACAUUCUGGCCAGGCUCACACAUACUUUUUACAUUGUGGUAAACAUUCUGGCCAGCCUCACACAUACUUUUUACACAGUGGUAAACAUUCUGGCCAGCCUCACAAAUACUUUUUACACUGUGGUAAACAUUCUGGUCAGCCUCACACAGACUUUUUACAUUGUGGUAAACAUUCUGGCCAGCCUCACAAAUACUUUUUACACUGUGGUAAACAUUCUGGUCAGCCUCAAACAGACUUUUUACAUUGUGGUAAACAUUCUGGCCAGCCUCACACAGACUUUUUACAUUGUGGUAAACAUUCUGGCCAGCCUCACAAAUACUUUUUACACUGUGGUAAACAUUCCGGCCAGCCUAACAGACUUUUUACACUGUGGUGAACAUUCUGAGCAGACUCUUACUCACUUUGAUUAUGCAUAAUUUUAUUUGACUGUCACAAAAAAUAUAUUAAGAUUGUUGUGGCAAAGGGUAUCUGAAGUUUCUAAUGGCUGUUUAAAGAAAACCAAACCAUGGAUUACAGUUUAUCUAGGCCCAUACUGUAAUAUGUUCAGGCGAUGAAGCACCAACUUGUAAAAUAGUGAAUUUACCCUUUAAUAAUAAGCAAAGCAUUUGUGGUGGACAGUGGAGCCUCAAGCAGACAGCAGACCCAUGCAAAUCACAUUAAAGAGGCCAAGUGAUGUGAAAUAAACCUCUGUGGGGGAGUUGAUUCUAUUAGUGUGUUUCUUCCAAAUGGCAUCCUACUCCCUACACAGCGAACCCAGCUACAUAGUUAACAAUAUUCCCUACAUAGCAAACCCUAUUCCUUGGAUGUGGUCACCUUACUCUGAGUCGCCUCAUUCUUGUUAUGUUUGUAGUCCCCACAUCCAUUGUGUUUGUGGUAGCCCCACAAUUUUUUUUUUACUGUGUUCAGAAGAACUUGGCGAAUCAGCAGGUAUCAGCCAUUACGGUAAAUGCUUUACCAGGAUGCGGUCAUUUGCGGGUUUGUUUUGGCCAUGGUAGAGUGCCUGGAAGAGACAACAAACACAUAUACGUUAUUAUUGAACGGUUUGGUAUACAUCAAUCAAAAGGAGAGAGCCGGGGGAAAAACGCAAUAAUUUUUUUUCUUCUGUCAUAUGCACAGAGCACUGAUAUAGUCAAUGCCGUCUGGAGUCAUCAGUGGUUGUUGUAAACAACCAACACGACCAAAUUGUUGAAGCUACAAACUCA
ensembl:lncRNA